CCUACGGGGUGCUGCAGUGAGGAAUAUUGGUCAAUGGCCGUAAGGCUGAACCAGCCAAGUAGCGUGAGGGAAGACUGCCCUAUGGGUUGUAAACCUCUUUUAUGCGGGGAUAAAUGUGUCCACGUGUGGAUGUUUGCAGGUACCGCUUGAAUACGGACCGGCUAAUUCCGUGCCAGCAGCCGCGGUAAUCCGGAAGGUCCGGGCGUUAUCCGGAUUUAUUGGGUUUAAAGGGAGCGUAGGCCGGUCUUUAAGCGUGCCGUGAAAUUUUGUGGCUCAACCAUGGGAGUGCGGCGCAAACUGGAGGCCUGGAGUGCGGGGAAGGCAGGCGGAAGUCGUGGUGUAGCGGUGAAAUGCUUAGAUAUCACGAAGAACCCCGAUUGCGAAGGCAGCCUGCCGCAGCGUGACUGACGCUGAAGCUCGAAAGCGCGGGUAUCGAACAGGAUUAGAUACCCCUGUAGUC
rnacentral:rRNA from 1 species